rnacentral:snRNA from 1 species
UUACUUACCUGGCGCCGGGCCCAAGGUGAUCACGGGCACCCUGGCCCUAGGUGGAGGUUCGCCCUUGCACUCUGGAGGGUUGAAGCCGGCGAGGAUCCCUAAUCGGGCUUACUCGAACGCGUAGUUUUUUGCCGGUGGGGAGGUCUUCGAAACAUCCCUUU